GUUCUCUACUUAAUCUAGUUGAUAAGCUGCAGUGUUCGCAAGUUAGGAGUUACAAAUGGCUGUAAAUACAGAAGCAAAAGCAGGUAUUGUUAAAGAGCACGCACGUGCUGAA
rfam:Polynucleobacter sp. VK13 genome assembly, contig: Ga0139086_106